GCACGGACUUCAUCGUCGCGACCGAUUUCGAUUCCGCCGACACGUUCAGAGACUGCUCCAACAGGCUGUCUCCGGACUCGUUCACUGCGAGCACACAGAAAAUUUGUUAGGCCGUCGUCGAGCCACGUGUAUCACGGACGAGUGAUCCGUCUUCCGACGGUGUUUAAUUGAACGUGCUUGCCGCGUGUGCUCGCGACAGCCGCGAUUUAUGCGUGGCGAGGUACGUUACGUGUACCGUUUCGAAGGGGCCGCGAUUUUAUUAGCGACCAGUUGCUUCGUCCAAUUUCCGGAAGAUUAUGAGAGAAUGUUUGUGGUUUCAGCGCUUCGACUACCGCGUCGGUCACCUAUAGGCGACGAUGAUGUUCGCGGAUGAUUCACUGACGGGGAAUGACGAAGGAUGUUUUCGGAUGAAUCAUCCGAGACAAUCGUCCAAAAUGAAAGGCGUUCGUUUAAAAUACCGACUAAAAGCUCCCACUCGAAUGGGAGAAAAGCUCCCACUGUUUAAUCAAAGUAAACUGCAAUAAAGAAGAGUCUCGGAGUCAAUUUUAAGUAUUUCUUGUAAUUACUUGGUAGUUGCUCGCCUCACUUGAAUAACAUGAUUAUCGUGUUCAAGAAAA